rnacentral:rRNA from 1 species
CUACGGGGGGCUGCAGUGGGGAAUAUUGCACAAUGGGGGAAACCCUGAUGCAGCGAUGCCGCGUGAACGAAGAAGGCUUUCGAGUCGUAAAGUUCUGUUCUUAGGGAAGAAAAUGACGGUACCUAAGGAGAAAGCACCGGCUAAAUACGUGCCAGCAGCCGCGGUAAUACGUAUGGUGCAAGCGUUGUCCGGAACUACUGGGCGUAAAGAGUUCGUAGGCGGUCAAAUAAGUCAGGAGUGAAAGGCUACGGCUCAACCGUAGUGAGCUUUUGAAACUGUUUGACUUGAGUACUGGAGAGGAAAGUGGAAUUCCUAGUGUAGCGGUGAAAUGCGUAGAUAUUAGGAGGAACACCAGUGGCGAAGGCGGCUUUCUGGACAGUAACUGACGCUGAGGAACGAAAGCGUGGGGAGCAAACAGGAUUAGAUACCCUCGUAGUC